AGCGAACGCUGGCGGCAGGCUUAACACAUGCAAGUCGAGCGGGCAUCCUUGUGGUGUCAGCGGCAGACGGGUGAGUAACGCGUGGGAACGUGCCCUUCGGUUCGGAAUAACUCAGGGAAACUUGAGCUAAUACCGGAUACGUGCGAGAGCAGAAAGGUUUAUCUGCCGAAGGAUCGGCCCGCGUCUGAUUAGCUAGUUGGUGAGGUUACGGCUCACCAAGGCGACGAUCAGUAGCUGGUCUGAGAGGAUGAUCAGCCACACUGGGACUGAGACACGGCCCAGACUCCUACGGGAGGCAGCAGUGGGGAAUAUUGGACAACGGGGGCAACCCUGAUCCAGCCAUGCCGCGUGAGUGAUGACGGCCUUAGGGUUGUAAAGCUCUUUUCUCCGGGACGAUAAUGACGGUACCGGAGGAAUAAGCCCCGGCUAACUUCGUG
rnacentral:rRNA from 1 species